rnacentral:rRNA from 1 species
AUUGAACGCUGGCGGCAGGCCUAACACAUGCAAGUCGAGCGAGCGGCGGACGGGUGAGUAAUGUAUGGGGACUGCCCGAUAGAGGGGGAUAACUACUGGAAACGGUGGCUAAUACCGCAUACUAUCGGAUAACCCAUAUGGGAUUAGCUAGUAGGUGGGGUAAAGGCUCACCUAGGCGACGAUCUCUAGCUGGUCUGAGAGGAUGAUCCGCCACACUGGGACUGAGGCACUGCCCAGACUCCUACGGAGGCAGCAGUGGGGCAUACUGCACAAUUGGCGCAAGCCUGAUGCAGCCAUUCCGCGUGUAUGAAGAAGGCCUUAGGGUUGUAAAGUACUUUCUGCGGGGGGGCGUUACCCGCAGAAUAAGCACCGGCUAACUCCGUGCCAGCAGCCGCGGUAAUAC